rnacentral:ncRNA from 1 species
GCAACCAGCGAGGGGUGCCUCCAGCGUAUGAACGACCCCAUGUUCAUCACGCUGGUCGCUGAGAUUAUACCCUUAAUCACCUGAUCCGGGUAAAACCGGCGGAGGGACUGCUGUUGUUCAUGUUU